CGCAAGCUGUUCGAUGAAAUUCCUGAGAGGGAUGUUUGGAAUUGGAACUGUAUGAUCGCUGGAUAUGUGGCGGUUUGGGACCUGGAGGCUGCCAUCAGAUCACUUCACAUGUAUAGCUCUUGACAUUAUUUUGCCUUUCAAUGCAAUUUCAGACAGCUUGGGUCUAUGUGAAGCGCAUUGCUGAAUAUAAACCGUUGCGGAGGCUCGCAUGUGAUGGUUGAGGUGGACGAGGUCGUACUGCGCACACUUGAAGAAGGUCUUGAUGCUUGAAUGAGAGGUUUUCCAGUUCUUUGUAUUUGAGGUUGCAGACCAAAGCUGAAAAUAAGCUUCUGAAUGCUGAAGUUUUUGUACAUAUCAUGUUUGAACCGUGAGAGUGGAGUAAAGGAUAAAUGCGAUGUUAACAGGCUAAAGAAGACAAAGGUGGAAAGAAAUCCUGAUUUGAAAGGUAACUAAUAAGUUUUCUUUUCUUACCUUUGGCAUGGAGUUUUCUUCGAACCUUCAUGUUUGAAGUUACAAAUAGCUAUUUCCUCGAUGUGGAGAUUUUUGUCCCAAGAGCUUUUUUUUCUUUUUCUGAUUUCUUAACU